AUGCAAGUCGAGGGGCAGCAUGACCUAGCAAUAGGUUGAUGGCGACCGGCGCACGGGUGAGUAACACGUAUCCAACCUACCGGUUAUUCCGGGAUAGCCUUUCGAAAGAAAGAUUAAUACCGGAUAGUAUAACGAGAAGGCAUCUUUUUGUUAUUAAAGAAUUUCGAUAACCGAUGGGGAUGCGUUCCAUUAGUUUGUUGGCGGGGUAACGGCCCACCAAGACAUCGAUGGAUAGGGGUUCUGAGAGGAAGGUCCCCCACAUUGGAACUGAGACACGGUCCAAACUCCUACGGGAGGCAGCAGUGAGGAAUAUUGGUCAAUGGACGAGAGUCUGAACCAGCCAAGUAGCGUGAAGGAUGACUGCCCUAUGGGUUGUAAACUUCUUUUAUAUGGGAAUAAAGUGAGCCACGUGUGGCUUUUUGUAUGUACCAUACGAAUAAGGAUCGGCUAACUCCGUGCCAGCAGCCGCGGUAAUACGGAGGAUCCGAGCGUUAUCCGGAUUUAUUGGGUUUAAAGGGAGCGUAGGCGGACUAUUAAGUCAGCUG
rnacentral:rRNA from 1 species